CGUAUUAAAUAGUCAAUGCAGUCCGAAGAAAGAGACACCGUAAUCUCAUUUUUGAAAACUCUAAACGGCAUUGAAGAUUGAGUAGACACAGAAGCAGAUGAGACUAUAAUGUCACCAAAAUCUUGGCAUCCGGAUUGGCCUCUUCAGGAGCUACAUAUUCACCUUCUGGAGGUUGGAACUUUAUCUCAGAUGAAGAGGUGCAAGAUGGGUCGAGUGUGUAGGACCAGAAGGCAAAUAGGAGAAUUAAAGCCAUCUGUGGCUAACGUAGCCAUGAAAUUAUGGCGAGUGAUUUGUUGCAGCAAUGGAAAAUACAGAUUAACAUUCCUUUCAUCUCAGAAACAAUCCAGAAAAUAAACACUUCUGAGAAUAAUACUAGAAGGUAUUUUCAAGUACAGCCAUAAUGUCAUAUAUAAGCAGGAUACAACAGCUGUUGGACUUUCAAAGACACGAACUGCCGUAACUUUAAAAUGGUUAGAUGACAAACAUGCGUGGGUGGAACAUUGGCCUUUGACAUCAGAACACUUAGAGGCACUAGGACAGCUGCUGCAGAAGCAGCAAAACGUCCAACAUAGUGGACAACCAAUCAGUCUUUGGCGUUCUCCUAUAUUUGUCAUUAAGAAGAAACCUGGAAAAUGGGGACUAUUAACAGAUUUUAGAGCCAUAAAUAAGGUGAUUGAGCCAAUGGGGCUCUUUAUAGCCUGGAAUUCCCUUGCCUUCAUCAUUACCUAAGGGAUGAUCUAUUAUAGUGAUUGAUUUACAAGACUACUUCUUCACUGCACCUUUACAAAAACAGGAUAAGGAAAAAUUGCCUUCCUGGCAAUACUUAUAGUAGUGCUCAACUUGUGUCAACCUGUGUCAACGGUGUCACUGGAAAGUUCUUCCAAACAGUCUGGCACUGUGUUAACAUUUCCUACAGCUGUUAUAAACAGUUUGCUCAUUCUAAAAUGUAUCAUUAUAUGGAUGAUAUCUUACUGGCUAA